AGAGAGAGAGAGAGAGAGAGAAGAGCGUUUGCAGCAGUGUUUUGUGUAAAGUCUUGGUCGUGUGCAUCAGAGGGUGUCCAGGAAAAGAAGCACACACUCCGGAAAAAAAGUCUGGUUGGGUUUCACUGAGGAACCGGAGUCGUUGCUAUGGACACAGGGUCAGUAUUGUCCAGCAAACAGUCUCUUCUCCCGAAGCUACGUGCAGCAACACCAUCAAAAGUACAGAGCUGGCAGCGCCCCUCCUCUCAGGGAGUCAGUAGGGGGGGAUCUGGUUUCGAUUCUUUUUCAGAACUUGAGUCCGUAACCCGUGUGCGCACUGCCAUUGGUCAGGCCGGGUUAUAGGACUGGGUCGGGAGUCGCAAAAAUCUUUACCAACAAAGGGGACGCUAGAAAUUGUGUCGGACAUUUUAUACUUGUGUGUUGGGGUGACUUCGCCCUUCUGUGUCCGGCGGUGGCAGCCAAAAACACUCUAAAUAUUGUUGAUUUCCACUCCGCUGUUUUCUAUCAAAGAAUUUGCCUGGAAAGAGGAAAAGAUGAUCAUCGUCCCUGCGUCUGUUAUUGGUCCUGACUUCUCUCACUUGCCGGACGUGAGUUGUGUUAAGGGUCGGCCAGAAAAGGAUUGAGGAAAUAACAGUCUUUCGGCGCAGCAGAAGUAGGAGUGUGAAAGUGCUAAAACUCCUCCAACAGGCAUUGUGUUGACGCGUUGCCUUUAGUUGAGCCCCGGCCUCUGAAUGCGUUAGAUGUAUGCACAUAUGUUAACAGUAUGGAAAGACGCGUCUAGAAAUUGUUUCCUUUUCGGGAAUUUACAGUAAUUAAAGCAUACUAAAAGCCUGAAGUCCUGAGGAGAAAACUACCGUUAGCUAUUUUUUUUUUAUCAUGGUUGACGUAUCCUGUUUCAGAAACAAUGUAAUCGGAUGGAGUGGUAUAUAGACCUGCACAUGGAGGAAAGUAUGUUGAUAGUGUAUGUGUGAGUAGCCUGCGAUUGUCUUCCCUUAGUGUACUGUUGAUGUUUCUUUUGGCUGAAAUCUGACUUCAUAUUUCAGAAACUAAUGAAAGACAGACUACUGACUCUUGUUAAGGAGGUUCCCGUCAGCUGAAAUAAUCGUGGCGGUGCGGCGGCCAUAGAUCAGUGGGUGGGAGUGAGCGGUCGUCGGUAACAGGCUGGGGGCUUGGCUCAUCUGAUAUAUUUAUUUUGAUCCCGUCUCCUCCGUCUUCAGCGCGGCCACGCCCCUCCUCCAGAAUCUUCGUUCAGGGACGUUUCGUGUGCGUUCGUUAAGCGUGGGAAGUCCUGACACGCCACAGAGGCUGCCGGGACUCCGGGGCGGUGUGCCCUACACAGACAAAGGUUGCUUCAGGGCAGUGCGUCAUGGGGCAGUCAUUUCCCCAAGUGCUGUCAUCAACAUUAUUUGUUUUUGUGUGUCCAGGGCGAGUGAAUUAUCGGCUGAUUCCACAUCAUUAUUGGCGCGGCAAGACAUUUUAUGGAAUGUAUAUAUAAGGAAAUAUUUGUUGCGUUUACUUCAUGCAUAUACUGACGCAAAACCUUUGUUUACAAAACAUGGCUUGGACACAUAUUGCUCACACAUCGUGGGAUCGUGAAGAGGGCUCCUCUGAGUGUCAGCGGAGGAUACGUCACCGGAGUCGUGUGAUCUCAUUGCUCGGGUCCACAGUAGCAUCCAAAGUUGCUGUUUUAGUUUUUAUUCGUUGGGGUUUGUCGGAUACCAUCAUCAGGAAGCUUAUGUUCUUCCACUCUUCCCAGCAGCGUUGGGUUCUUGGCGCGCGGCGGAUGGGACAGAUGAGACGAGGGGGAGUCUGUGAAGGGACCAGAAGACUGGGGGGAGGUUAAGAGAAGGGACGUAGACUCACACGAACACUACCGUGGAAGGAAGAAAAAUCUCUCGGCCAUCAAGGGGGGAAAGAAAUAGGGUGGGACAAGGGAGAGCGUGGGUCGCGCGAGGUCAUCCAGCGGGUGACGCAUGGGGCGGCGCGACGCACACUGACACUCUGAUCCACCGGACGAUUAUUUCGGGGACGCGGCUAAGGGGCCCGCUUACCCCUCCCCACAAGGGCGAGGAAAUAGGGACGGAACGGAGAUUACGGCUACAAAUGGAAGGAAAAAGAGGGCGUGGAAGAGACUAGAGGCAGACAAGAAACUCCCGUAAGAGAUAAUGGGGUUUGCCACGGAGGGAGGGUGGCGGAGGGAGGGUCCUCGGAGGCCUGUUUCCUUUUGUCCUGUUGUCAACGCUAGAUAUGUGUAUGUCGAGUCGAGGUUCUCUUCUCUGAUUGUGUUUAUCUGCCUCAUGAUAACCAUGUGUGCGCUUUUAAUAGUAUCACAAAUGUUCGUGUACGUUGCGCUGCUGUGCUCGGACAGACCAACAGCUGUACUUAGGCGGGAAGAGGAAUCGCCUAGCGCCUGUGGAGUCGCCUCGCGUUGUAAAUGAUCAGCACAUAAACGGGGCGACAACAGUUCCGGCGUGGUGAAUGCCGGCAAUCUACGGCAGAAAAAAUGCCGGCCGACCCGAGUAAACGACUUCAUAAGUUAAAACAUCAGCCAGCCAGACGAGUCAUUCCCGCCAAAAAUUGAGUAAAUAAGAGGCGUCGUUACGAUAGGCCCAUAAAUUGUAGUGUGUCGCGGUAAAAAAGUACCCGCCAUUACGGCUGACACAGGAUGACCGGGGCAUCAUUUUCCUUCGCCUUCCUCCCACCGUCGGGACAAAUUUCACUGAAUUUCGUUUCGUUUUAUUGUGGAAUCUCAUUGUAAGACUCAGCGAGGAGAUGCGCCUUGCUUGUGGGUUGCUGAUGAUGAGUUGCAGUCAUGUGCUACGUUAGCGUGCCAAGAGGAGUGGCGACAGGCACAGGGGGGAGGGACGGCCAAAGAGCCUCGUCGGGAAGGGUCCUGGACGCUCCUCCUUGACCACCACUGCUGCUCCUCACGUCCUGGCCCCCCGGCACAUGUGUGUUUAUGAGCUUCAGCUCGCAGACACAAUGCCACGCAAUGUUAUAAAGACACCUGACACGUUGUAUAUUAUAUGAGCACUCAAAAUGUUUUAUUUGAGAUUUUUAUUAAACUGAGAUGAUUGAAUUCUUUACGCAAAGUAUUACAUAACUACGAUGCUUUCUGGUUUAUUACCGUACUUGCGUGCAUGUGUUUAUUUGUGUGCGUGUGUGUGGAUCCCCUGUCCACCGCACACCGAGGGGGUUCAAACAGUGCCAUCUGUCCCGGCCUGGGAUGUGUCCCUCGAGACAGGCCGCGCCCCGCCUCUCUCUUAGCUCGUCAGACAGACGGCCACGAACACAGCCUUGUGGGUGGAGAGCCAGAUGCCACGAACACGGGGUGACGAACUUCCAAGGCUUGAGAGGGUCCGACAAUUAGUAUAUUAUUUGACACAAACAUGUCUAAAAAAAUUGAAAUAGAAUAUACGCCUCAGAUAAACUACAAUUUAUCCAUGCGUUUCCUUAUUUACGCGAACAAUUCUAACAACUGUAACAGAUCACCGUUCACUGUAAAGGUUUUGGGAAGUGUGCACAGACGAGGGUUUGACGGAGGGGCAACAUUGGUGAUAUUGAUGUUGUUAUUCGUAAUGUAAAAGCAAACCAUACUUAAUAUAUGCUUCAUGUGUACAAGAUAUAGCUUUAGGUUCAGAGUGAAUAUGGGUCGGAACUGAUUUAUGAACAGAGUAUGUGGAUGAGUGAAACAUAUAAAUUGUGCUGUUACGGAAGUGGAAGUAAAACAUAGAUUGACACUAGAUGAGAAGGAUCGUGGGCGGGAAAAAGGUUUGCAAGAGUUGCCGUGUGUGGCAGCCAACCGGCCUCUUCUAGAGUUUUAUUUCUUUGUGAAUUCUUAUGUAUGGAAAUACCAGGCUUGAAACCGUCGAUUCACCUGUAAUUUUGGUCUUUUAAUCUUGUUUACAGCACAAUUAUCAUAGUAUAAGUUAUGUUAAGUAAGGAAAGAAGAAUACGCUAAAUUAAUAUUACUUGACCCUUUGUGGAAUCUCAGUUAUUAAUUAAGGCUUCCGAACCAAGAAUGAAGGAAGAGUGACUCAGACAGCCGAGUGGCGUGCCCCUGAAGUGCUCCCCUCGGUAAUUCGUCUCCAAACCUUCCCUAUUGAUUCUUUGUGACCGACGAGCUACACAGAGACAAAGACUUCUUUAGACAUAGUUCAUCAUAACAUCAGAAGCUGUGAUGGAUCAGUACUGAACUCCGUCUGAAUUAGUCCAUCAUGAUUUCAGAGUUUAAGAUGGACCAUCUCCCGCUGCUGUAUAAUGACAGGUUCUUUGCAAUAAGUAGAUCGUAUAAAGAAAGACUUAUGAGACAAGUGGAUGCAUGAAAUGAGAUCAAGAGUAUCAGCUGUAUUUUUUUUAUAAAUGCUGCAAUCGACUACCAACAACUGUGAUGCUCAUCGUAACUUGAACCAAUUAAUUUUGUUUCAUGUUUUUCCUUAUGGUAAAGCUUUAAACAUACACAUAUACAUGAUGAAUACCGUAGCUUGCGAGUCCAUUUUUUCUUAGCCUUUUAUUCCAAAUGUUAAAACUUCAAAACGGUAUUUUGUUGCAAUCAUGGAGGUAAAUGUUGGCAAGUGAUGGUGAACACGCUGGCUGCCUCCCCCACACACCCCGCCUCGCCACCCGCCGCCGCCCGGCCCACAACGCGCCACUAAAUCUCUGAACUCUUAAUUUAUGGAGUGGGCAACAUUACUGAUAAAUGGCUGAUGGUUAUAAUUAGAAUUAAUAACUCGAGCACGGCUGGACGCGAUAAUAGAGACCCGCACCACUUAGAUCGACCCACCUGUUGACCUCCAGCGGGGCCUGACCCUACGCCGCCACCACCACCAGCACCACCACUACCAUCCCCUCCCACCGCCACCACUACCACCCUUUUACCACCACUACCAUCACCACCAGUACAGCCUCAACCAGUAUCACUAUCACCACCACCACUAUCAUUAAUACCUCCACUGCUACCACCAUUACCACUACCACCAUCAGUGCCCUCUCAUUCCCCACCACCACUAGUGCCUCCACCUCCACCACCGUCCCUUGGCCUGAUCCUUUGCCUGUCACCACUAUCACCCAGCGGAUGGAAGGAGGAAAAGAGAAAAAAAUCGAAAAGAUGCACCAAGACAACACUUUAGGAUGAUUUUAGUGGAAGGAGAAAGUUGGAGCAAAGAUUCACGGCGUCCGUGAGAUUGCGAGUGCUACUUGUUUAUGUGCAUUUUUGUACCUUGUGGCGGGCCUCAAAGAAAAAUAAUAUAUAAAGUGGAAAGAAGGCGUACAAACAAAUAAUAAUGUAUGCAGACCACACCAUUUCAAGCCUCUUACUUGGCGGCUCGUGGGUCAGUGUUUGUUCCUUUAACUAGCAAUUUGUUAUUAAAUAUUUAAGCUUGUCAUGUUGAGUAUUAGAGCCUCACAAAUAGGAUGUACGUGCUAAAUACUCGCCUUGAAUAUGCAUGUGGCUGUAUGUUUAGGAAGCAGCUCAGCACGAGUGUCUGAGAUAAAUUGUCACGUAAAACUGAACAUUCAUCAUAAAGUGUCGGGGCGGAGGAGCCUGAACUCCCUGCAGCUGAACUCCGCAUUAAGUCCAUCUAAGUAAACACUUGUAAUUACUGCGGCUCUGACAGUUAUGAGUGUGUAUAACCCUCGGAGAACAUCAGGUCUGUCCCGGCGGUCAAGGGGGUGAAGCAGAGCACGACGAAGCACCACUAAAAGAAGCUCAUCCAUAAGGGGCGGGUUGAGGGGUCCGCCGCGGUGGCUGGCCCUCAGGUUUACUGCCGUGCCCGACGACUGCACCUUCCGCGCCCCGCCACCGCCGCCGCCGGGCAGAAUAGUCGUACCCUUCCUCCCCUUCACCAGCUCCGGGAGAUGGCCAUUUUGAAUGCAGGAAGGGACCUCUUGCAUGUCUGGUCCUCCGGACGCUCGGCGUGCUGGGAAAUGCUACAGUGAUGGAGUUACCUGCUGUCGACCCAAACAGAACAAGAAGGACGCCCAGGAUGUUCGAAACAGUCGGUGGGCGACAGGAGGGUUAAAUGAACAGCUAAAGAGUGAGAGACAGGCAACGAGCGGCAACUCACCAGCGGAAACCACCCCCAGCCGCAUCACGGCACAGCUGUAAUUAACAACGACGACGACAACAACACCCUUACCUGCUGAAAAACUUUCGCCACUGCCCAUCGAGACCUGUCUUUUCUUCCUGU